rnacentral:rRNA from 1 species
AUCAACUUUCGAUGGUAGGAUAGAGGCCUACCAUGGUGGUAACGGGUAACGGGGUGUUAGGGCACGACACCGGAGAGGGAGCCUGAGAAACGGCUACCACAUCCAAGGAUGGCAGCAGGCGCGCAAAUUACCCAAUCCCGACACGGGGAGGUAGUGACAAUAAAUAACAAUACGGGGUUCUUUCGGAUCUCGUAAUUGGAAUGAGUACAAUUUAAAUCUCUUAACGAGGAACAAUUGGAGGGCAAGUCUGGUGCCAGCAGCCGCGGUAAUUCCAGCUCCAAUAGCGUAUAUUAAAGUUGUUGCAGUUAAAAAGCUCGUAGUUGAAUUUCGGGGUCAGUAGAUUGGUCGUGCCACUGUACGUACUGGUCUCACUGAUUCCUCCUUCCUGAUGAACCGUAAUGCCAUUAAUUUGGUGUUGCGGGGAAACUGGACUGUUACUUUGAAAAAAUUAGAGUGUUUAAAGCAGGCUAACGCUUGAAUACAUUAGCAUGGAAUAAUGAAAUAGGACGUUCGAUCCUAUUUUGUUGGUUUCUAGGAUUGACGUAAUGAUUAAUAGGGAUAGUUGGGGGCAUUAGUAUUCAAUUGUCAGAGGUGAAAUUCUUGGAUUUAUUGAAGACUAACUACUGCGAAAGCAUUUGCCAAGGAUGUUUUCAUUAAUCAAGAACGAAAGUUAGGGGAUCGAAGACGAUCAGAUACCGUCGUAGUCUUAACCAUAAACUAUGCCGACUAGGGAUCGGAUGAUGUUAAUUUUUUAAUGACUCAUUCGGCGCCUUACGGGAAACCAAAGUGUUUGGGUUC